rnacentral:rRNA from 1 species
UGAUUUGUUGGACGCUAGCGGCGGAUGGGUGAGUAACACGUGGGCAAUCUGCCCUAAAGACUGGGAUACCACUUGGAAACAGGUGCUAAUACCGGAUAACAACAUGAAUCGCAUGAUUCAAGUUUGAAAGGCGGCGUAAGCUGUCACUUUAGGAUGAGCCCGCGGCGCAUUAGCUAGUUGGUGGGGUAAAGGCCUACCAAGGCAAUGAUGCGUAGCCGAGUUGAGAGACUGAUCGGCCACAUUGGGACUGAGACACGGCCCAAACUCCUACGGGAGGCAGCAGUAGGGAAUCUUCCACAAUGGACGCAAGUCUGAUGGAGCAACGCCGCGUGAGUGAAGAAGGUUUUCGGAUCGUAAAGCUCUGUUGUUGGUGAAGAAGGAUAGAGGCAGUAACUGGUCUUUAUUUGACGGUAAUCAACCAGAAAGUCACGGCUAACUACGUGCCAGCAGCCGCGGUAAUACGUAGGUGGCAAGCGUUGUCCGGAUUUAUUGGGCGUAAAGCGAGCGCAGGCGGAAUGAUAAGUCUGAUGUGAAAGCCCACGGCUCAACCGUGGAACUGCAUCGGAAACUGUCAUUCUUGAGUGCAGAAGAGGAGAGUGGAAUUCCAUGUGUAGCGGUGGAAUGCGUAGAUAUAUGGAAGAACACCAGUGGCGAAGGCGGCUCUCUGGUCUGCAACUGACGCUGAGGCUCGAAAGCAUGGGUAGCGAACAGGAUUAGAUACCCUGGUAGUCCAUGCCGUAAACGAUGAGCGCUAGGUGUUGGGGACUUUCCGGUUCUCGGGGGCCCGCACAAGCGGUGGAGCAUGUGGUUUAAUUCGAAGCAACGCGAAGAACCUUACCAGGUCUUGACAUCCUGCGCUACACCUAGAGAUAGGU